rnacentral:rRNA from 1 species
AGUCGAACGGUAACAGGAAGCAGCUUGCUGCUUUGCUGACGAGUGGCGGACGGGUGAGUAAUGUCUGGGAAACUGCCUGAUGGAGGGGGAUAACUACUGGAAACGGUAGCUAAUACCGCAUAACGUCGCAAGACCAAAGAGGGGGACCUUCGGGCCUCUUGCCAUCAGAUGUGCCCAGAUGGGAUUAGCUAGUAGGUGGGGUAACGGCUCACCUAGGCGACGAUCCCUAGCUGGUCUGAGAGGAUGACCAGCCACACUGGAACUGAGACACGGUCCAGACUCCUACGGGAGGCAGCAGUGGGGAAUAUUGCACAAUGGGCGCAAGCCUGAUGCAGCCAUGCCGCGUGUAUGAAGAAGGCCUUCGGGUUGUAAAGUACUUUCAGCGGGGAGGAAGGCGAUGUGGUUAAUAACCGCGUCGAUUGACGUUACCCGCAGAAGAAGCACCGGCUAACUCCGUGCCAGCAGCCGUGGUAAUACGGAGGGUGCAAGCGUUAAUCGGAAUUACUGGGCGUAAAGCGCACGCAGGCGGUCUGUCAAGUCGGAUGUGAAAUCCCCGGGCUCAACCUGGGAACUGCAUCCGAAACUGGCAGGCUUGAGUCUCGUAGAGGGGGGUAGAAUUCCAGGUGUAGCGGUGAAAUGCGUAGAGAUCUGGAGGAAUACCGGUGGCGAAGGCGGCCCCCUGGACGAAGACUGACGCUCAGGUGCGAAAGCGUGGGGAGCAAACAGGAUUAGAUACCCUGGUAGUCCACGCCGUAAACGAUGUCGACUUGGAGGUUGUGCCCUUGAGGCGUGGCUUCCGGAGCUAACGCGUUAAGUCGACCGCCUGGGGAGUACGGCCGCAAGGUUAAAACUCAAAUGAAUUGAC